UCCCUGGUGGUCCAGUAGUUAGGACUCUGCACUUUCACUGCGGAGAGCCUGAGUUCAAUCACCAGUUGAGGAA
rnacentral:tRNA from 1 species